CUCGUGAACACGGGAAACCUCACCCGACCCGGACACGGACAGGGCUGACAGACUGAGAGCUCUUUCUCGAUUCCACAGGUGGUGGUUCAUGGCCGUUCUUAGUUGGUGGAGUGAUUUGUGUGGUUAAUUCUGCUAACGAACGAGACCCUGGCAUGCUAACAGUUACGCGACCCCCGAGCGGUCCGUGUCCAACUUGUUAGAGGGAGGAGUGGCGUUCAGCCACCCGAGACUGAGCAAAACCAGGUCAUCUGGCAUUUUUUGCCUUG
rnacentral:ncRNA from 1 species